rnacentral:rRNA from 1 species
GACGAACGCUGGCGGCGUGCUUAACACAUGCAAGUCGAACGGUAAGGCCCUUCGGGGUACACGAGUGGCGAACGGGUGAGUAACACGUGGGUGAUCUGCCCUGCACUGCGGGAUAAGGCUGGGAAACUGGGUACAAUACCGGAUAGGACCACUGCCUGCAUGGGUGGUGGUGGGAAGCUUUUGCGGUGUGGGAUGGGCCCGCGGCCUAUCAGCUUGUUGGUGGGGUGAUGGCCUACCAAGGCGACGACGGGUAGCCGGCCUGAGAGGGUGACCGGCCACACUGGGACUGAGAUACGGCCCAGACUCCUACGGGAGGCAGCAGUGGGGAAUAUUGCACAAUGGGUGCAAGCCUGAUGCAGCGACGCCGCGUGAGGGAUGACGGCCUUCGGGUUGUAAACCUCUUUCAGCACCGACGAAGCGCAAGUGACGGUAGGUGCAGAAGAAGGACCGGCCAACUACGUGCCAGCCGCCGCGGUAA